rnacentral:rRNA from 1 species
GACGAACGCUGGCGGCGUGCUUAACACAUGCAAGUCGAGCGGUAAGGCCUUUCGGGGUACACGAGCGGCGAACGGGUGAGUAACACGUGGGUGAUCUGCCCUGCACUUCGGGAUAAGCCUGGGAAACUGGGUCUAAUACCGGAUAUGACCUCCUAUCGCAUGGUGGGUGGUGGAAAAAUUUAUCGGUGCAGGAUGGGCCCGCGGCCUAUCAGCUUGUUGGUGGGGUAAUGGCCUACCAAGGCGACGACGGGUAGCCGACCUGAGAGGGUGACCGGCCACACUGGGACUGAGACACGGCCCAGACUCCUACGGGAGGCAGCAGUGGGGAAUAUUGCACAAUGGGCGAAAGCCUGAUGCAGCGACGCCGCGUGAGGGAUGACGGCCUUCGGGUUGUAAACCUCUUUCAGCAGGGACGAAGCGCAAGUGACGGUAC